rnacentral:lncRNA from 1 species
UUGUUGGACCCCAAGGGCCUUCUGGUGCUGCUAGUAAAGUCGAUAAUUCACCAAAUGCGAGUCGGGCUAGGGGCCCUUCGCAUUCACGAUAGCCUUGAACGAGUUACGGAAAAUUUCGGGACUUCGCACCCUCUUUUCCUCCUCGGUUGUGGGGCUACACGAAGUCCAGUUGAUUGGAUUAAGUGAAUAGUGCGAGCGACGCCUAAGGGAUCGUUUGCAUGGUUGUAAACUAGUCAUUUUCAUUAAUGUGUGUUUAUCACAAUUCACAACCCAUAAUUAAUCCAACGUCACCGGGACGCAACGAAUACACCCGUCGUAAUGAAAUAACUAGAUACAAUUCAUUAAUGCAAAAUAUUAGGAAAACAUCAGGUUUUCCUAGGGUUUUCAAUUAACACACCUACGAGUACAUACCGAGUUUUACAAAUUGUACGUUUACAUUUAUAGAAACAAACAAGCAUACAUCAUACUUACGGAUCUUCACACUCUUUAUACUAAGUUCUUUUCAGAAAAUAUCGGAUUUUCUGGUGAUUUUCAAAACAAUACAAACCACUUUAUUUCAAACAAUACUUAUGAACUCACCAACAUUUCAUAUGUUGACGUUUUUCAAAAUACUUGUAUUCUCAGGUAACAGGUAAAUCGAAAAGGAAAAAGAAAUGUACUCAGUAACGUUUUGCUGUUGUUUUAAUUAGUACCGAACAAUUUACUUUUGGGCAUGUAAUAUUAUGGAUCAAUGUACCGAAUGUAAACGCUACCAGUUGUAAUAUUCCAAUGCUUGGUAUUGUAUGAUGUUAUGUUUCAUGUAUAUUCAUGGUGAUGGUAUUCAAUUGAGUCACAAUAGCCCUCGGACGUUUCCGCCGUCUGGUUCGGGGGUGUGACAGGUUGGUAUUAGAGCUCUGUUUAUAGUGAACUAACAUAUCGAACCAUACAUUGAUAUGCAACUAUGAACCAAAAGAGGGACUAACAUAACUCUGAACAAAACAAGUAAAAAUACAACAAUAAAACACCUUUGCUUGCAUUAGGAACAAGGAACAUAACGCCGAACCAAACAAGAUAAUGCUAGUAUCUCGGUUAAAUCAGGACUGUUCUUAGUGGUACCAAGGAGUGGAUGUAGCCUGAUCAACUACAUUCUCUCCAAAGUAUAACUAACACACGUUCCGAUGAGAUCGUGAUGGCUAGGGAACCUAAAACUAUACCCCAAUAUCACCAAAAAGAGAACGUCUGUUUAGUAUACAUCAUAGACGUGGGAGUGACGAUAGUUUAUACUUUCCCCCAGUCGUCAUGGAGGGAGAUCAGUCGGGUAUCCAGUUCCAUCAAGUUCUAGUGGCUCACGGGGUGCUUGAAGAUGAACCAGAAGGGAAUCCAGAGGAAGCACACGACGUCCGACCUGACGAAUACAUAGACAGCGACUACGAAUUUGGAGAGACCGACGAUGACGCCGAGGAAGGGCAAGACCGGGACAAGGAUCACAUCCCUUCGUGUGAGAACUAGGCGCAACCAGACCACCCCGCCCCACCAAUGAACCCCCCAAGGGAGAACCGUUCCCCCGAAGCUGAGAUCGUCGCACUACGACAACAGUUGUAUGCUAUGGAGGCCCGGGCAGUGCGAGCUGAGCAUGAGAGGGAUGAGGUUAUUGGAGACAUGACGGAGAUGGCUCAGUCACUGGCGCAACAUUUUGGCAUAUGACCCCGCCACUACGUAGGACGCAGAUCAUCGCGGUUAGGGAUAGACUUAUCUUAGUAGGUCGUUAGGAACUAUGCUAUGUACCCCGACUCUAUGUUUAAGUGACUACACUACUCAUAGAGUCGUUAUGCUGUUGAACUAGUGUCACUCAUGUAUGCUCUUACGAGCAAAUUUCUCAUAUAUCAAAUACGGAUAAUAUUAGUAAACUUUUACGUGCUUUGUUAUGAUAUUACAAAUUGCUAUGUGUUGAGAAUCUAUGAUUGUAUGUUAAAUGGUAGGAGUGUUUAAGUUCGUACCUUGCAUAUAGACAGUAGGGUCACAACCUCUCAGAAACCCCAAACACUCAACAUCUUUUCGUUUCAUGACUGAAAGAUGCCUCGCCGACCUACUCGUGGAAACCCUGGACCAACCCNNNNNNNNNNNNNNNNNNNNNNNNNNNNNNNNNNNNNNNNNNNNNNNNNNNNNNNNNNNNNNNNNNNNNNNNNNNNNNNNNNNNNNNNNNNNNNNNNNNNAACAUAUCUCAUACUUCCAUGCAUAUAUCACCUCAAGGUCUACUUUUUCCUCUCUCUCUCUCUCUCAUUCUCGGCCGAUUUCAAACACACACACACACACACAAUUCUCUCACAAAUCUCUCAAGGAAACUCCCUCCACUCUUCAUCAAGAUCUCGAAUUUUAGAAGGUUUUUCAAGAAGAUAUUCCCACAAAUUCUUCAUCUAAGGUAAUAUUAUGCUUAGAUCUAUGAUCUAGAUUCUUUGUUUCAUCAAAAUCUCUUCUAAAUUCAUUCACUCUUAUGAUCUUGCAUCCUAGAAUCACCUCAAGGUCGAGAUCUUCAUCAAAGUGUGCUAGGGCCGAAAAUCACCUCAUUUUCUUCCAUCUUUUCUCCAAAACCGAAACCACACCCAAAGGUGAGCUUCAUACCCCCUAUUUUUCGGUUUUUAUAGGUUUUUUUUUGGGCGGGGGGGAGGGGGGAUACAAGAAAAUGUGUAGAUCUAUGAGUAUAUGUAUGCUUUUGUAUGAUUUAUAUGCUUAUUUACAUGUUUAUAUGUGAUUAUGGUGUUGAAACUACUCAAAAGACCUUAAAAAUCGAGAUUUGCAUUAGGAUGUACGAAACAAGUGUUAAACAUAUUACUUCACACAUAUCAUUUCUAGAAAAAUAACCAAGUUGGUUAAAAUGAACUCAUUGGGCUAAAAAAUUUAUUUUUGGACUCAAAAUGUUAAAAAUAUGAAGUUAAAGGGCCCAAAAUGACAAAUUACAAAUUCUGAUGGAUGAAAUGAGUCAAAACAGUUUCAAUAAGGUAUUUUUCUGGAAAUAUUCUCUUUGGAGGAUUAAAUGUGAAAUUUUUAAGCAUAAUGGGCCAAAAAUGAAUUUUUCGACCCAAUAAAGCCCAAUAUGCGAGAUUUUUAUUUAGAGGGGCUGAAACUGUAUUUUUCUGUAAAACAGGGGACUACUAGUGCUCUAAGUCCAUUUCAAGGGUUAAAAAUGCUUUUCAUAUUUAAAUGGGACCACAGAUGCAAAAAAUUUCUAUUUUGGGCUAAAAGUGUAAAAAUUGCGAAAAUAAGGGUUUUAGCCGAGAAAAAUUUCAUUUGGUGGACUAAAAUUGUUUUUCAAAUAACUUUGGGCUGAAAAAUAACUUUNCUUUUCUACAAGUUUUGAUACUAAAGUGUCAAGAAAAAUAGUUUGAGGACUAAAAUAGAAAUUAUUUUAUAUAAAGGGUUAAAUGUGUAAAUUAUUCAAAAGAAAAGGGGCUGCAAUAAUGAAACAUCCUAAAGUUUUAAAUAAUAAAUCCAUCAUGAUGAAAUACUAGCAUCUCGACUAUCGGCAAAUUAUAAUACACCUUCAACACCAAAAAUCGUUAUCAAACGAAUUGAUUUGGUCUUGAAUCAAUAGCGAAUCCGAAAUUACUAACACGACGAAACUUCAAUACACACGCGGAAAUUUUGGGAAGUCAAUACACACGUGAGAAUACACCAGACGUCGAUACACCAUCUUGGGCUAAAAAGUUUCAAAUCGUGGUUGUUGGGCCUAGCUAGCCCAAUGGCAUGAUCUUUAGGCCCGAAGGAAACUCGCUUACAUGUAAAUGGGUCUUAUAUGACCUAAUUUCGUGUAAAAUGACUUUUACAGGCUUUGCGCUGNUUCUGGUGCUGCUAGUAAAGUCGAGAAUUCACCAAAUGCGAGUCGGGCUAAGGGCCCUUCGCAUUCACGAUAGCCUUGAACGACUUACGGAAAAUAUCGGGACUUCGCACCCUCUUUUCCUCCUCGGUUGUGGGGCUACACGAAGUCCGGGUGAUUGGAUUAAGUGAAUAGUGCGAGCGACGCCUAAGGGAUCGUUUGCAUGGUUGUAAACUAGUCAUUUUUAUUAAUGUGUGUUUAUAACAAUUCACAACCCAUAAUUAAUCCAACGUCACCGGGACUCAACGAAUACACCCGUCGUAAUGAAAUAACAAGAUACAAUUCAUUAAUGCAAAAUAUUAGGAAAACAUCGGGUUUUCCUAGGGUUUUCAAUUAACACACCUACGAGUACAUACCGAGUUUUACAAAUUGUACUUUUACAUUUAUAGAAACAAACAAGCAUACUUACGGAUCUUCACACUCUUUAUACUAAGUUGUUUUCAAAAAAUAUCGGAUUUUCUGGUGAUUUUCAAAACAAUACAAACCACUUUAUUUCAAACAAUACUUAUGAACUCACCAACAUUUCAUAUGUUGACGUUUUUCAAAAUACUUGUAUUCUCAGGUAACAGGUAAAUCGAAAAGCAAAAAGAAAUGUACUCAGUAACGUUUUGCUGUUGUUUUAAUUAGUACCGAACAAUUUACUUUUGGGCAUGUAAUAUUAUGGAUCAAUGUACCGAAUGUAAACGCUACCAGUUGUAAUAUUCCAAUGCUUGGUAUUGUAUGAUGUUAUGUUUCAUGUAUAUUCAUGGUGAUGGUAUUCAAUUGAGUCACAAUAGCCCUCGGACGUUUCCGCCGUCUGGUUCGGGGGUGUGACAUUUUCCUACACGGAAAAGGAACACAAGCUGAU